UUUUGACACCUUCCUGUAUGCAGGGUACUGUGCUAGGUGUUGGGGACAUGAACACCCCACUCUGAAACAUGACCUGUAUGUUUUCUAAAACCUCUUCUAAAAGUGGCUGUGGCCCCAGAGACAGAGCAGCUUGGACACUGGAUAUGGACAUGAAUUGUUGCUUCAUCUCUUGACCCAGAAGCCCCGGCUACUCUACUCAACUGCCCCUGGUAGGGACAACAUGGCUCAAGCCUCCCAGAUUCCACUCAGCCAGCUCAGCUGGGGUUGCUGGACUGGGGGGCCCUCAGGAAGACUGUUUCGGCAGGGUGCCUUCCUCCCUGAUAUGAUGUAAAACACUGUUUCUCUGAACCCACAUCCUAUGAGGUGCUUGGGGAAAAACAGUGCCAACAUGCAGUUGUUUGGUGCUUCUUGUGCCUGGCAGCUGCCUUUGAGUGUUUGGUGGUGUUUUGGUGAGCCACGAAGAAGCUGAGUCUUGUGACAUGAAGAGGUUGUUUUCCUAACCAUAUAUGUCUUCCCAAGAGAACCAAUAAAUAAUGUGGUCACUCUG